CAGCACUUUGAGAUAUUAGCUGAUGUAAGAAGGGCUAUAUAAAUACAUUUGAUUUGAUUUGAUUGCUUUGAAACUGUGUCCAAGGAAAGAUUUUUGGCAUGUGAGUGAAAGCAUACACAUUGCUUUGAAACGGUGUCCGAGGAAAGAUUUUUGGCAUGUAAGUGAAAGCAUACACAUUGCAUUGAAACGGUGUCCGAGGAAAGAUUUUUGGCAUGUGAGUGCAUUGAUGUGAGAAAUGGUGUGUUUGCAGUCGAAAAUACAUUUUCUGGUCUAGCAACACCCAUACAUGUUGUGAAAAAUACUUGGGCUAAUUCAGUUCCAACUGUGUUCAAAACUGUUAUGCAUGGUAGAGUAUAAAAAGCUGUUGAAUUGUACUUUUUCUUUACUUUCACAUACACUGUGUUCACAGAAAUAUUGCUCGGAUCUUGUCCCCUGGACCUUGGAGGACUUUUGGUGUGGAGGAUGUUCAGGGCCUACCAAAGCAAGGUUUCUCAAACAACUGUGGGGUGUUUGUUUUGAUGUACGCUCUAUACAUUGCAAUGGAAGCACAGUGUGAUUUCCCUGAGGAAAACAUGCAGCACGUUAGGCGAUGGUGGUGCUUAGUUCUCCUGCAGAACUUUCCCAUGCCGUUUGAAGAAGAGGUUGAAAGAUCGAAAAAGGCUGUGAAAACAAAACACACUACAGGAUUUAGAAGAUGUCCCCCCCUAAGAAGUCACAGCAUGUUUCAUCAGCAUCCAGCUCUGCAGGAACAGACGAUACUGAAAACAAAAUGCACAGCGAACUGGGAGCUGUGAACUGGGAAGCAGAUGUUCUUCUCAGGGACAGCCUAGAGGCAGCAAGGUGGUGCGAACGCCAAACAUCUAAAGGCACCGUUUCCCUCCCAAGUGUAAUUGGGAUGGACGGGGAAGACCGUAUUACAACUCUUAAAGAACUACGGUUGUAUGAUGGCCUGGAUGAAGAGGAAAAUAUUCUCCUCAAGGAACCAUUCAUGUUCUCGUUCCAGUUAGAGAGAUUAUGAGAUGUUCUAUGUGGAGGCAGUUGACAACAAGAAAAUGUUGAGCAGGAGUGAAGCCAUUUGAAGAGUGGUCAAACCUUGUUUUUGUCUGCUGUGUUAAUUGUUUCAAUUAUGAAUUGUGUUAUGUUGUUUAGUAAAGAUGAUGUAGAAGUCACCCGAGUCUCUGAUCUCUUUACUGGAGCUGGUAUAACUUCAUGUACAGAGCACAUUCAUCUUGUCAGUAUGUCUAUGUGGUAUAGUCUGUCUCCAUUCUCAUGAGGAAAAUAAAAAGCAUUAUAAAUCAGGAUAGGUAGUAACUGUAUAUAUGCUCAAUGAAAUAAUAUAAUUACAAAGUUAGAACAUUUAUCAACACAAUUUUAACAGUACAUGACAUAAUUCUGUUGUUCACUGCAACAAUAUCAGUAGCUUGUCUCAAAUAUAGUAAGAA